UAUUCCUUGGAAUAUCGGGUAAACUUUAUUAAAUUCUUUAGUGCUAAUUGUUCAUUUCUAUAUUAUGUCUUCAAAUUAUUUUUAUACUAUCUUACUUAUAUUCCAAUAUAAUUUUCUAGGAUGCAUUGGACGCUAGUGGUGGUUGCGCCAAAGAAAAUUAUCCAUUUAAACCCUCUAAAAGGCCGCCCAAUUCCCGAAGAAAUAGAACAAAUGAUCGGAAGGGCAUUCAUGUAUAUAGGGGACGCACAUCAGUAUCUUGGCCCGUGGCAAGGAAUUGCACAAGCAAAUCGUCCAAGACAACCUAAAAGCCAAGAAUGCGGUUUUUAUGUUUUGAAAUAUAUGAUCGACAUCGUCGCACGUGCCAACCCCAACCGUUACAUAGAAGAUCAAAAAGCUGUAAGUUUUAAUUAUUGAUCAUAGUAUAUAAAUUUUAUAAUAACAAAUAUAUAAUAUACAUAUACAUAAACUAAUAUAAAUUUUUAAUUUUUUUAACAGUUUGGGGGUCAGAAGCAAUACGAUCCAAAAACAGAAAUUUUACCACUACAGCGAAAGUGGAUCGAACAAUUGAUGGCGGUGAUUCACGGUGACGAUUGAGGUUCAAAGGUCGAAGAAUUUUUCUUCAUUAUGUAAUUUUUAUAGAUUAACUUGUAAUUAGAUUUAUUAACUUAUUAAUAUUUUUAACUAA